rnacentral:rRNA from 1 species
GAUGAACGCUAGCGACAGGCUUAACACAUGCAAGUCGAGGGGCAGCGGGGUGUAGCAAUACACCGCCGGCGACCGGCGCACGGGUGAGUAAACGCGUAUGCAACUUGCCUAUCAGAGGGGGGUAACCCGGCGAAAGUCGGACUAAUACCGCAUGAAGCAGGGGGUCCCGCAUGGGGAUAUUUGCUAAAGAUUCAUCGCUGAUAGAUAGGCAUGCGUUCCAUCAGGCAGUUGGCGGGGUAACGGCCCACCAAACCGACGAUGGAUAGGGGUUCUGAGAGGAAGGUCCCCCACAUUGGUACUGAGACACGGACCAAACUCCUACGGGAGGCAGCAGUGAGGAAUAUUGGUCAAUGGCCGAGAGGCUGAACCAGCCAAGUCGCGUGAAGGAAGAAGGAUCUAAUGGUUUGUAAACUUCUUUUAAUAGGGGAAUAAAGUGGAGGACGUGUCCUUUUUUGUAUGUACCCCUAUGAAUAAGCAUCGGCUAACUCCGUGCCAGCAGCCGCA